UUCUAAGAAAAAUCACUUUAAUUGGAAAGCACUGAAUGAAAACAGGUCGUGAUCACCGCAUUCUUGUCUUGGUUUUUUAUUUUUUCUUUCUUUUUUUUCCCUCCCUGCUGGACUCCUUUGCACUUCCCAGCUCCACUUUCUUUUGCUGCCACUUCAAUUUCUCAUUGCUCUCGGAGGUGAAGGAACAUUUUCAUCUGGCAGGGCUGGUUGGGGUAAGAAAUGAGCCAGAUGUGAGCGAUGCAGGCUCUGAUUGCACCCCCUGCAGUUCUGUACUUAAAAAACCAACAAACAACAAACCCCAGGCUGAACAAACAAGGAAAUGCACAUUUUGGACUUUUCCAGAAAUUUCAAGUCGGAUCAAAUCUGUUUUCAUUUCUAACUUACAACUGAACUGCUCACAUUCCUUCUGUUCUUGCUGCCUCCCUGAGCUUUGUCUGGAGACGUUUUCAUCAUUGUUGAGGAAAUUUGGGAAAAAGCAGAAAUGUGGCUUUUCCAACACCAACCCACCAGGUGCAAAUUGCAACAUCUGCUGCAAGCUGGGCCGGAGCCAGGAAGGAUCAAAGGAGGAGCUCGGAUGGAAAAAGUGGAUUUAAAUCAUAUUUAAAUAAAUAAAUUCUGGCUUUGCCCAA